UGACCGAUAGUGCAUAGUACCGUGAGGGAAUGGUGAAAAGUACCCCGGGAGGGGAGUGAAAUAGUGCCUGAAACCGGGUGCCUGUAAGCCGUCAGAGCCUGCUUUUGUUGGGUGAUGGCGUGCCUUUUGAAGAAUGAGCCUGCGAGUCAGUGAUGCGUGGCGUGCUUAACCCGUGUGGGGGAUGCGUAGCGAAAGCGAGUCUUAAUUUUGGGCGUGUGUCGCGUGUUGUGGACCCGAAGCGGGGUGAUCUACCUAUGGUCAGGGUGAAGCUAUGGUAAGACGUGGUGGAGGCCCGUACCCACCAGGGUUGAAAACCUGGGGGAUGAACUGUGGGUAGGGGUGAAAGGCCAAUCAAACUCCGUGAUAGCUGGUUCUCCCCGAAAUGCAUUUAGGUGCAGCGUCACACUGGGCUUGGUGGAGGUAGAGCUACUGGUUGGUUGAUGGGCCGUGUUGGUUACUGACGUCAGCUAAACUCCGAAUGCCAUUUCAAGUGGGUGUGGCAGUGAGACUGCGGGGGAUAAGCUUCGUGGUCGAGAGGGAAACAGCCCAGAUCAUCGGCUAAGGCCCCUAAGCGUGCGCUGAGUGGGAAAGGAUGUGGAGUCGCGUUGACAGCCAGGAGGUUGGCUUAGAAGCAGCCAUCCUUGAAAGAGUGCGUAAUAGCUCACUGGUCGAGUGGUUGUGCGCCGAUAAUGUAGCGGGGCUUAAGCGUGCCGCCGAAGCCGUGGCAAUAACUUUUUGUUUUUGGGUAGGGGAGCGUCCUGCUCUGGGUGAAGCUGCCUGGUGAUGGGUGGUGGACGGGGUGGGAGUGAGAAUGCAGGCAUGAGUAGCGUUUCGUGGGUGAGAAUCCUACGCGCUGAUUGACUAAGGGUUCCAGGGGCAGGUUUGUCCGCCCUGGGUUAGUCGGGUCCUAAGGCGAGGCCGACAGGCGUAGUCGAUGGGUGACCAGUUGAUAUUCUGGUACCGUUUGUUUUCCGUCUGACGCUGCAUGCUUUCGCGUCGUGUGCUUGCCGUGCGUGGUGUUGUCUUUCGGGAUGAUGCUGAGUGUGGCUGUGUGUGGUGUGGGGUGUGUGGUGAGCAUUGGGGUGACGCAGGGAGGUAGUUGCUGCACACUGGUGGUUAUGUGUGUCUAAGGUUGUGGCCUGUUUCUUGGGUGAAAUCCGGGAAGCUGCGUUUGAUCGCGUGGGUGAGGGCUGAUGGGGCUGCCUGUUGGGGUGGCUAGUGGUGAUCCUGUACUGCCGAGAAAAGCCUGGAUGUGAGGAAGAUGAGCGCCCGUACCCUAAACCGACUCUGGUGGUCAGGUAGAGUAUACCGAGGCGUGCGAGUGAAUCAUGGUUAAGGAAUUCGGCAAAUUGCCCCCGUAACUUUGGGAUAAGGGGGGCCCUGCUGGUGUGCCUGCUGUGCGUGGGUGGUGCUGGUUGGGGUCGCAGAGAAUUGGGAGAAGCGACUGUUUAUUAAAAACAUAGGUGUGUGCUAAGCCGUAAGGCGCUGUAUACGCACUGACGCCUGCCCGGUGCUGGAAGGUUAAGAGGACGACUUAACUGCUUUUUUGUGGUGAAGGUUUGAAUUUAAGCCCCAGCGAAAUUCCUUGUCGGGUAAGUUCCGACCUGCACGAAUGGCGUAACGACUUCUCCGCUGUCUC
rnacentral:rRNA from 1 species